CCUACGGGCGGCAGCAGUGAGGAAUAUUGGUCAAUGGACGAGAGUCUGAACCAGCCAAGUAGCGUGAAGGAUGACUGCCCUAUGGGUUGUAAACUUCUUUUAUAUGGGAAUAAAACGUUCCACGUGUGGGAUUUUGUAUGUACCAUAUGAAUAAGGAUCGGCUAACUCCGUGCCAGCAGCCGCGGUAAUACGGAGGAUCCGAGCGUUAUCCGGAUUUAUUGGGUUUAAAGGGUGCGUAGGUGGAUUGUUAAGUCAGUUGUGAAAGUUUGCGGCUCAACCGUAAAAUUGCAGUUGAAACUGGCAGUCUUGAGUACAGUAGAGGUGGGCGGAAUUCGUGGUGUAGCGGUGAAAUGCUUAGAUAUCACGAAGAACUCCGAUUGCGAAGGCAGUUCACUGGACUGCAACUGACACUGAGGCUCGAAAGUGUGGGUAUCAAACAGGAUUAGAUACCCUUGUAGUC
rnacentral:rRNA from 1 species